rnacentral:rRNA from 1 species
AGUGAACGCUGGCGGUAGGCCUAACACAUGCAAGUCGAACGGCAGCACAGUAAGAGCUUGCUCUUACGGGUGGCGCGUGGCGGACGGGUGAGGAAUACAUCGGAAUCUACUUUUUCGUGGGGGAUAACGUAGGGAAACUUACGCUAAUAACGCAUACGACCUACGGGUGAAAGCAGGGGAUCUUCGGACCUUGCGCGAUUGAAUGAGCCGAUGUCGGAUUAGCUAGUUGGCGGGGUAAAGGCCCACCAAGGCGACGAUCCGUAGCUGGUCUGAGAGGAUGAUCAGCCACACUGGAACUGAGACACGGUCCAGACUCCUACGGGAGGCAGCAGUGGGGAAUAUUGGACAAUGGGGGCAAGCCUGAUCCAGCCAUACCGCGUGGGUGAAGAAGGCCUUCGGGUUGUAAAGCCCUGUUGUUGGGAAAGAAAAGCAGCAGGUUAAUACCCCGCUGUUCUGACGGUACCCAAAGAAUAAGCACCGGCUAACUUCGUG